rnacentral:rRNA from 1 species
AUUGAACGCUGGCGGCAGGCCUAACACAUGCAAGUCGAACGAGUGGCGGACGGGUGAGUAAUGUGUGGGAAACUGCCUGAUGGAGGGGGAUAACCACUGGAAACGGGAGCAAAUACCGCAUACCAUCAGAUGCGCCCAGAUGGGAUUAUCUAGUUGGUGGGGGAACGGCUCACCAAGGCGACGAUCCAUAGCUGGUCUGAGAGGAUGACCAGCCACACUGCAACUGUGACACGGUCCAGACUCCUACGGUAGGCAGCAGUGGGGAAUAUUGCACAAUGGGCGCAAGCCUGAUGCAGCCAUGCCGCGUGUAUGAAGAAGGCCUUCGGGUUGUAAAGUACUUUCAGCGGGGAGGCGUUACCCGCAGAAGAAGCACCGGCUAACUCCGUGCCAGCAGCCGCGGUAAUUC